rnacentral:rRNA from 1 species
AGCUCCAAUAGCGUAUAUUAAAGUUGUUGCAGUUAAAAAGCUCGUAGUUGGAUUUCUGGGAGGGUGCCAAUGUCCGGUUGAUUCGUGCGCAGCGGCGGCCUCCCAUCCUUCUGUCAACGCUUCGCGGCAUUCAUUUGCCGGUCGCGGGCUCAGAUAUUUUACCUUGAGAAAAUUAGAGUGUUUCAGGCAGGCUAGGCCGGAAUACAUUAGCAUGGAAUAAUGGAAUAGGACUUCGGUCUCUUUGUUGGUUUGAGGGACCAAAGUAAUGAUUAAUAGGGAUAGU